UUAUCCGGAUUUAUUGGGCGUAAAGCGAGCGCAGGCGGUUGCUUAGGUCUGAUGUGAAAGCCUUCGGCUUAACCGAAGAAGUGCAUCGGAAACCGGGCAACUUGAGUGCAGAAGAGGACAGUGGAACUCCAUGUGUAGCGGUGGAAUGCGUAGAUAUAUGGAAGAACACCAGUGGCGAAGGCGGCUGUCUGGUCUGCAACUGACGCUGAGGCUCGAAAGCAUGGGUAGCGAACAGGAUUAGAUACCCUGGUAGUCCAUGCCGUAAACGAUGAGUGCUAGGUGUUGGAGGGUUUCCGCCCUUCAGUGCCGGAGCUAACGCAUUAAGCACUCCGCCUGGGGAGUACGACCGCAAGGUUGAAACUCAAAGGAAUUGACGGGGGCCCGCACAAGCGGUGGAGCAUGUGGUUUAAUUCGAAGCUACGCGAAGAACCUUACCAGGUCUUGACAUCUUGCGCUAACCUUAGAGAUAAGGCGUUCCCUUCGGGGACGCAAUGACAGGUGGUGCAUGGUCGUCGUCAGCUCGUGUCGUGAGAUGUUGGGUUAAGUCCCGCAACGAGCGCAACCCUUGUUACUAGUUGCCAGCAUUAAGUUGGGCACUCUAGUGAGACUGCCGGUGACAAACCGGAGGAAGGUGGGGACGACGUCAGAUCAUCAUGCCCCUUAUGACCUGGGCUACACACGUGCUACAAUGGACGGUACAACGAGUCGCAAGCUCGCGAGAGUAAGCUAAUCUCUUAAAGCCGUUCUCAGUUCGGACUGUAGGCUGCAACUCGCCUACACGAAGUCGGAAUCGCUAGUAAUCGCGGAUCAGCAUGCCGCGGUGAAUACGUUCCCGGGCAUUGCACACACCGCCCG
rnacentral:rRNA from 1 species